AACGAACGCUGGCGGCGUGGAUAAGACAUGCAAGUCGAACGGGACUAAAUCUGUAGCAAUACAGGUUUAGUUUAGUGGCGAACGGGUGCGUAACACGUGGGCAAUCUGCCGAGAAGUGGGGGAUAGCUCGCCGAAAGGCGAAUUAAUACCGCAUAUGAUCAGUGAAGACAUCUUCACGACAUCAAAGCCGGGGCAACCUGGCGCUUCUUGAUGAGCCCGCGGCCUAUCAGCUAGUUGGUGAGGUAACGGCUCACCAAGGCUAUGACGGGUAGCUGGUCUGAGAGGACGACCAGUCACACUGGAACUGAGACACGGUCCAGACACCGUACGGGUGGCAGCAGUCGAGUAAUUUUUCUCAAGUGGGG
rnacentral:rRNA from 1 species